rnacentral:lncRNA from 1 species
GAUGGAAAGGUUUUGCGCUGCUUGUUUUCCAGUGGGGGAGUAUAAGGUAAUUCCAAGGAACUGGUUUUCACAUCUACAGGGAUUUCUUUCUUGAUACUUGUUAGCAGUUUUUUACUUUUCUGCUUUAUUUGCACCAUUUCAUUUUCAGGUUUUUCUGGUGUAACUUUUCCCUUUUGUUUUUCAGGUUCCUCUUUGAGAAGUGGCUCUGUAUCUGGGUUGGAGGUUUCAGUUGUGGUUGAAGAACUGUCAUCAUCUGCCAAGGAAUCCUUCAGUUCAUCUUCCUGUUGCUUCCCUUUUCCUCUUCUGUCCUUUUCUUCCCGUUUCUUCUGUGGCUUCGCCUUCCGCUGAAGUGCUUUCCCUUUCCCUUUGUUUUUUGCUAGUGGAGAUGGGGGUUGCUCUGUAAACACAUCUGGGGAAGGGGUUUCUG